AUUUACUAGCUCAUCUUGGGUAAAUCAAAUUUUUCUGGGAGUAAUUUCUUUAUCUUUAAAAAUGGGGUAAUAAUUUCUACCUUAGAAGGUAGAAAUCUGAAGAUUAAAUGACAUCAUUCAUGAAUUGUGCAUAAUAUGCUGCUGGCACAGGAACUGAGUAAGUUUCUUAAACAUUUUCUCAUGCUAGUCUUCAGAAAACACAUUUUAGUGUUUUGGUUGCACCAAAUGCUAAAUACUUUUAUUUUUAGACAUUUAAUUUGUUUUCAAAUAUUGUUAGUUUAAAAAUACUUUGAAGGAAAAAAAGUACUUUUAUUUUCACUUUAUUACUUAGGAGAUUUGCAAUUACUUAUCAAAUGUUAUUCUCAUGUUCAAGUUCUUGAUAAUGCAUUGCUCUAUUCUCUUUAGCAAGAAAAUACCAAUACAUGUCCCCAAUCCUUUUUCUAAAACAUAAAUUCAUUACUAUUUUCUUUUCCAGCUUCUCUGUUAUUAUAUAUCUUUGCCCCUUUUUUCCCUCAAUCUAAUACAUUAUUUUAUAUAUCUUUUCUUCCAAUAUGUUUCCUGAGUUCCAGGUGCUCUUAUUUCUUUCUAGAAUUAUGUUUUCAUGUGCUUGAUAGGACGUGCCUUCCAUCUUUCACUGAAAAAUGCAUGGGACUGGAAUGAUUUUUUUCCUAAGUAUACUUUAAAUAUUGAAACUUGAUUUGCAUACUUAACUUUUUUGAAAAUCUUGAAUGCUGCAUAUUUAUGUCAGCAUGUUUAAAAGUAUCCACAAUGCACACUGCUUUUAUUAUUUCUAGGAUUUUAGCAUUGUGAUUAAGUAUGCUGAAGGUGUGUGUAUAUACAUGAAUAUGUGUGUAUCUACAUACACUCUUUAUAUAUACACACACACACAUUAACUAGUCACUCAUAGUUUCAUAUCUAUGUAGUAUUUAGGGUGGCAAUGUAGUGUUUAAGAUAAUUUCUUAGUCUACUGUUAAACAUACUUUAUACAAAGGUAUGAAAAACUGCUCUUUAUGUGUAAUAAGAAUUGUAAUACAUUCCGCUGUCAUGUAUUUAAGAAAAUAAAAUCAAUUUAAAAAAUACACUAUCUACAGUACUUGUCAAAACAUCCAAGAGAAAUUACUUAGAUAUUUUCCCCAUAUUUCCAGAUAAAACAGACAAGCUUAGGAGAAUCACUC
rnacentral:lncRNA from 1 species